AGAUUAAACUAAAGAGUUUGAUCCUGGCUCAGAUUGAACGCUGGCGGCAUGCCUUACACAUGCAAGUCGAACGGCAGCACGGAGCUUGCUCUGGUGGCGAGUGGCG
rnacentral:rRNA from 2 species